rnacentral:lncRNA from 1 species
UUUGGAUUGAGCAUGUUGGUCGCCAAAGUGAAUCCUUAGGAAAAGCAUUGAGGGAAGGGAAGAUAGCGAGAAGAGGAAGACAGAAUCCUGAGGAACCACUGGGGUUGUUGUGCUGGGGAUUGAACUCGGGUCCUUGUCAACAAGUAUUUAUGAAGUACCUACCAUGCCUCAGGCAUGGGCUCUUUCCAUGGC